AACGAACGCUGGCGGCAUGCCUAACACAUGCAAGUCGAACGAGACCUUCGGGUCUAGUGGCGCACGGGUGCGUAACGCGUGGGAAUCUGCCAUUGGGUUCGGAAUAACAGUUGGAAACGACUGCUACUACCGGAUGAUGACGUAAGUCCAAAGAUUUAUCGCCCAGGGAUGAGCCCGCGUAGGAUUAGCUAGUUGGUGGGGUAAAGGCCUACCAAGGCGACGAUCCUUAGCUGGUCUGAGAGGAUGAUCAGCCACACUGGGACUGAGACACGGCCCAGACUCCUACGGGAGGCAGCAGUGGGGAAUAUUAGACAAUGGGCGAAAGCCUGAUCCAGCAGUGCCGCGUGAGUGAUGAAGGCCUUAGGGUUGUAAAGCUCUUUUACCCGGGAUGAUAAUGACAGUACCGGGAGAAUAAGCCCCGGCUAACUCCGUG
rnacentral:rRNA from 1 species